rnacentral:miRNA from 1 species
ACACUACACCCCUCUUCUUCUUCAUCCUUAUCUCUCUCUUGUAAUCUCAAUAGUUUAUUAUUAUUUUUUAAUUUCAUUUUGGUUUCUUUAGGGUUUGAUUUUCUGAUGAAGAGAACCUUCUCAGUGUAAAAAAAAAUAAUAAUAAUAUGAAUAUAAUCAUCAUCUGAUGAUGACAGGAGAGAUAACAUGGUCCUCUUUGUAUUCUUCCACAGCUUUCUUGAACUGCAUCUUGUUUCCGAUUCUGCGUUGCAUGCGUGUCCACGCCCUGCCGCUUCGCAUUUUCUAGUUGUUGUUGCGGUUCAAUAAAGCUGUGGGAAGAUACAGAUAGGGUCAAAGGGUUUUCCAGAUCGAUCCUUCUUCGUUUUCCUGGACAAGAGAUGUGAACCAGAAGCUGGGUCGAACAAAAGCAAUAUGCAAAUUUAUUUGUUUAGAUUUUUAAUGUGAUGAUGUAGACCCAACUUUGUUGAUCUUGGUAAUUAGUUGAGUCACUUUGUAAUAUUCAAAAAAAAAAAAAAAAAAAAAAAA